rnacentral:rRNA from 1 species
CCCUUAGAUGUCCGGGGCCGCACGCGCGCUACACUGAAGGAGUCAGCGUGGCUUUCUCCCUGACCCGAAAGGGUUGGGAAACCCGUUGAAUCUCCUUCGUGAUAGGGAUUGGGGCUUGAAAUUGUUCCCCAUGAACGAGGAAUUCCCAGUAAGCGCGAGUCAUAAGCUCGCGUUGAUUACGUCCCUGCCCUUUGUACACACCGCCCGUCGCUACUACCGAUUGAACGGUUUAGUGAGGGCCUCGGAUUGGUCUCGGCCCACUCUUUACCGGGCGGCGCCGUUGGUCGAGAAGACGCUCGAACUUGAUCGUUUAGAGGAAGUAAAAGUCGUAACA